rnacentral:rRNA from 1 species
UACGGGGGGGGCAAGCGUUGUUCGGAAUUACUGGGCGUAAAGGGCUCGUAGGUGGCCAACUAAGUCAGACGUGAAAUCCCUCGGCUUAACCGGGGAACUGCGUCUGAUACUGGAUGGCUUGAGUUCGGGAGAGGGAUGCGGUAUUCCAGGUGUAGCGGUGAAAUGCGUAGAUAUCUGGAGGAACACCGGUGGCGAAGGCGGCAUCCUGGACCGACACUGACGCUGAGGAGCGAAAGCCAGGGGAGCAAACGGG